GAUGAACGCUGGCGGCGUGCCUAAUACAUGCAAGUCGAGCGAACAGACGAGGAGCUUGCUCCUCUGACGUUAGCGGCGGACGGGUGAGUAACACGUGGAUAACCUACCUAUAAGACUGGGAUAACUUCGGGAAACCGGAGCUAAUACCGGAUAAUAUAUUGAACCGCAUGGUUCAAUAGUGAAAGACGGUUUUGCUGUCACUUAUAGAUGGAUCCGCGCCGCAUUAGCUAGUUGGUAAGGUAACGGCUUACCAAGGCAACGAUGCGUAGCCGACCUGAGAGGGUGGUCGGCCACACUGGAACUGAGACACGGUCCAGACUCCUACGGGAGGCAGCAGUAGGGAAUCUUCCGCAAUGGGCGAAAGCCUGACGGAGCAACGCCGCGUGAGUGAUGAAGGUCUUCGGAUCGUAAAACUCUGUUAUUAGGGAAGAACAAAUGUGUAAGUAACUACGCACGUCUUGACGGUACCUAAUCAGAAAGCCACGGCUAACUACGUG
rnacentral:rRNA from 1 species